CGCGGUGCUUCCAGAGGACGUCACGGCAGCGUGUUUGGACAACAGAAAUAUCAUUUUCCUUGCAAACCACAUGGUUGUACAGAAACAGUGGAGAAUUUUAUUGGAACCCCCACCCCCCCGUGGGUGUACAAUAAUGUGCCGAGCAGCCAAGCGGCGGCUUGUCGUACCGCGGCACUCGCUACCAGGCUACGCCGACAUAUUGUGCUUCCCUGCCACUGAGCCUCACAUAUGUUUACAGCAGGUGGCCGCUGGGCCAAAACGGCCCGAAAACGGCCUUUACUUUCCGGAACCGAACCACGCCGCGAAAUUGAAUUUGCCCUCGCAAGGUCAAAAAAACGAUUCUCUCGACGCGAGAGCGGGAGGAGAGACCCCUGACGAGUGCGGCAGGGCUCUUCCUGCGACAUCCCGACAGCUGGCGGCGGCAGCAGAGGAAGGUGUCCGUCCACAGCACGCGUGUUCGGACACGGCUUUGCGGACGCACCUGAGCAGAUCGGGCGAAGAAAAGGCUCGUUUUUUAGGUUAUUUUCGAGCCUCCGCGGCACCCCGAUCAAGGCGACACGGCGGGAGACACCUCAAGUCCCGUCGUGUUACCUGGUUCUGCAUUUCAGUUUCAAGCUGGAGCAAUAAACAACAUUCUGUGCAUGAAAUAUUACUCUCGCAGGGCGAGCAAAUGCACAAAUCACCAUCUGCAUAUCUUGCGCAGGUGUGUGUGUGUGUGUAUCUGUGUUUCAGUGUACUGUAAUGAUCUGGAGAUUAUCCGGUUACAUAACCGCCGUGCAUAUGCGGCGUAUCCCCCCCCCCCCCCCGGACCGGGGUCAUUAGAGGACUGUCGCCACUGGUCUCCGGUGCCACCUCGCAGGGGGCGAAACGUCCCGAUUUCGUCACGCCCUGAUUAAUGGGAAACAACCCCCGGCGUGACAGCGUGCGCGCGAGGCGCGGUCCGGUGUCUGCUCGGCUGGCGACAUCAUAAUGCAUCAUAACUGAACCGAGGAGAAGAGGCCGACAUUAUCCUGC
rnacentral:lncRNA from 1 species